UACGUAGGCAGCAAGCGUUGUUCGGAGUUACUGGGCGUAAAGGGUGCGUAGGCGGCCCUGUAAGUAUGGUGUGAAAUCUCCCGGCUUAACUGGGAGGGUGCGCUAUAGACUGCGGGGCUCGAGUGUGGGGGAGGAAAGUGGAAUUCCUGGUGUAGCGGUGAAAUGCGUAGAUAUCAGGAGGAACACCGGUGGUGUAAACGGCUUUCUGGACCAUAACUGACGCUGAGGCACGAAAGCGUGGGUAGCAAACAGG
rnacentral:rRNA from 1 species